AUGGUCGCUAACCACUGCACCGCUGAACUCUCUACUUGCCUCAGUGUAGUAGGCGGCCAACAGGCUGAUGCUGCUGAGCUCGACGGAGUGGGGGGCGUAUGAUGUCGUGUGACCAAACACUAAUUACUGGUGACUAAUGGCUCCACCUACAGGCCAAACAGUGUCAAUGUACAAGAUUUGUCCUACUUGGAAACCAUUAUCAUCUGUUCCUGUCAAUCAAAGUGCGAACAGGCGGGGUGUGUUUCGCCGGUGAAGAACAGUCGUCACCGGCAACAAGUGUACUUACCGUGGACGCACAACUGAAGGCUUUUUUACACAAGGUUAGGCUAAAAGUUCACAAGCAAGCAAAAAUAAUGUCCUAUGACAGGAUUUUGUCCAUGCAAAAUCUGAACGAGGUUUCAAAUCCAUGGAAGGGAUUCACCAUGAAUCGCUGCUUGGCGUUGGCGCUGAUCGUGCUGCUUGUGGAGGCAGGGGUCCAUCAAUUUCACAAUGCCGUUGACAUAUUUGUCGAAGAGACUGGGAUAAAUUAUUUCAUUGGAAGUAUUCAAGAUGGUUCAAUAACUCAGGUAUUUAUUGUCUGCUU